rnacentral:rRNA from 1 species
AUUGAACGCUGGCGACAGGCCUAACACAUGCAAGUCGAGCGGAUGAGAAGAGCUUGCUCUUCGAUUCAGCGGCGGACGGGUGAGUAAUGCCUAGGAAUCUGCCUGGUAGUGGGGGACAACGUUUCGAAAGGAGCGCUAAUACCGCAUACGCCCUACGGGAGAAAGCAGGGGACCUUCGGGCCUUGCGCUAUCAGAUGAGCCUAGGUCGGAUUAGCUAGUUGGUGAGGUAAUGGCCCACCAAGGCGACGAUCCGUAACUGGUCUGAGAGGAUGAUCAGUCACACUGGAACUGAGACACGGUCCAGACCCCUACGGGAGGCAGCAGUGGGGAAUAUUGGACAAUGGGCGAAAGCCUGAUCCAGCCAUGCCGCGUGUGUGAAGAAGGUCUUCGGAUUGUAAAGCACUUUAAGUUGGGAGGAAGGGUUGUAGAUUAAUACUCUGCAAUUUUGACGUUACCGACAGAAUAAGCACCGGCUAACUCUGUGCCAGCAGCCGCAGUAAAAC